GAUAAUUAGUGACCGAGCAGCCCGGGACGUUUCUCUUGAUUUCUUUAGUCAGGGUAAAUUCAUUCACCUGCACGGGUUAGCUAAACGAACUUUACAAAACAAGUUUCCCCGACAGCCGAGUGCUUAUCUUCAGAGGUGGGUAGUAACGAGUUACAUUUACUCCGUUAUAUCAACACGUUCUCACUCCCAACUCGUCAAACGUGUGACGCAUGGUCAGGCUCCCUCUGCUGCACUUAUGGACGCGCAGGGUACCCCUCUCGCGUCGGGAAUUGACGUGAAGGGUCCUCCGAUUGAAGAGAUUGCCGCGGAUUGUCUGCGGAGAGUUCAGACCCAAUUAAAGCUUUAAUAGAGGGCAGGAUGAAGGAGCGAGGGAAGGAGCAAAGAGGUAUGAAGAGCAGGAUGGAAGGGAGAAGUGUCUUUUGGGGCCCGGUUGUGCAGCGUCUUCAGACUCCUUCACCCACUCUAUUAGUUCCCAGCCAUCUUUCUCCAUUUGGCCAAACAUCAAUUUCACUUUUUUUUUUUUUUUUUAAAUAUUUUUUCUUUUCCUCUUGCCACUUCUUAAGCCUCUUUUCCCCUCUCAGAUGUCUUUUUCUCUUUGUCAUAGUUUUGUAUUCUCUCAGACGCUCCAUUCCACAUACAACUCACAUCCAAUUCGAUCAAUUAAACAAAAAAGAAAAAGAAAACUACAAUUCCCUCACAAGUGGCUGAACAAUCUCAAUCAGUUCUUUGUUGACUGCACAAAAUCCAUUUUGGAACAAAGCUUCUCAAUUUUCAGACUGUAAAGAAAAUCCACUUGAUCAUCUGAAAGAACUGAUUUGUGAAGAAAAGUCUUUCCGCAGCCUUUCAGCAUCUGCAAAUCCUUAAUAUGCAUGUAACUCAUGUAACUGGGUUAGUGAGGCUGGUACUGCACUCUAAGGUAUGCAGCAGGGUUUUAUAACAAAUAGCCACAACAAUAAUGUUAUUGCCAAUACAUAAUCAAAUCACCUAAAUCAAAUAGAAACACUAUAAUUACGUGACAACGUGCUGCGUUGAUUCGGUAAUUAGCAACUGCCUCUUACUCAUCUCGCUAAAAAAAAAUGCAGAAAGGGUGUGCGGCUGUUGUGACAGUGUGAUGUUGGGUUUGUUAACGCAUUGUUAAAUGAGGUCAAGAUAUAUCAUGAUUUACAUUUGUAUGUGUAUGCAUCAGUUUUAAAGCUUUGCAGUACCUUUAAAAAUAUGCCACAAUAUGCAAUAAUACAGUGCAUUACCGAUAUUAAUAAUGGCACUGCUAAGAAAGAUGGUUUACUUUAGGUGCAGGGCUUUUUUUUUUUUUUUUCGAAAGCCCAUUUAUAUUCGUAAUAAAGGC
ensembl:lncRNA